rnacentral:rRNA from 1 species
GAUGAACGCUGGCGGCGUGCCUAAUACAUGCAAGUCGAGCGAACGGACGAGAAGCUUGCUUCUCUGAUGUUAGCGGCGGACGGGUGAGUAACACGUGGAUAACCUACCUAUAAGACUGGGAUAACUUCGGGAAACCGUAGCUAAUACCGGAUAAUAUUUUGAACCGCAUGGUUCAAAAGUGAAAGACGGUCUUGCGGUCACUUAUAGAUGGAUCCGCGCUGCAUUAGCUAGUUGGUAAGGUAGCGGCUUACCAAGGCAACGAUGCAUAGCCGACCUGAGAGGGUGAUCGGCCACACUGGAACUGAGACACGGUCCAGACUCCUACGGGAGGCAGCAGUAGGGAAUCUUCCGCAAUGGGCGAAAGCCUGACGGAGCAACGCCGCGUGAGUGAUGAAGGUCUUCGGAUCGUAAAACUCUGUUAUUAGGGAAGAACAUAUGUGUAAGUAACUGUGCACAUCUUGACGGUACCUAAUCAGAAAGCCACGGCUAACUACGUG